GACGAACGCUGGCGGCGUGCCUAAUACAUGCAAGUAGAACGCACAGUUUAUACCGUAGCUUGCUACACCAUAGACUGUGAGUUGCGAACGGGUGAGUAACGCGUAGGUGACCUGCCUGGUAGCGGGGGAUAACUAUUGGAAACGAUAGCUAAUACCGCAUAAUAUUGAUUAUUGCAUGAUAAUUGAUUGAAAGAUGCUAUUGCAUCACUACCAGAUGGACCUGCGUUGUAUUAGCUAGUAGGUGAGGUAACGGCUCACCUAGGCGACGAUACAUAGCCGACCUGAGAGGGUGAUCGGCCACACUGGGACUGAGACACGGCCCAGACUCCUACGGGAGGCAGCAGUAGGGAAUCUUCGGCAAUGGACGAAAGUCUGACCGAGCAACGCCGCGUGAGUGAAGAAGGUUUUCGGAUCGUAAAGCUCUGUUGUAAGAGAAGAACGGGUGUGAGAGUGGAAAGUUCACACAGUGACGGUAUCUUACCAGAAAGGGACGGCUAACUACGUG
rnacentral:rRNA from 1 species